GUUUAUUGGCGUGACAUUGGUUAAUACAAUUAUAUAAUUUUCAGGUGUGCCUUCUAAUGGUUUUUAUGUGCAAAUGCAAUACUAUAGAUGCUUAAACAUCAAUAAGUGUAAAAACCAUAGUAAUUUGAGUGGUGUGGUUAAGUUGAAACUUUUCUAGAAUCCAACUCAUAAAUCUAGAAAAGGAUUGUUAUUUGUGACAAGGAACUAUGUGUUCAUUGUCAUAAGGCCUGAAAGAUUUUCAAGAUCACAUAACCCAUGAGAAGCAGAAGUGAGAUUUGGACCUCAGUCUGUUCUCACUGUGUCCUGGAGAAAUUGUAGAUAUCAGGAUUACCUUGGAAGGCUUCUUGUAGUUCAGUGCUAUUAUAUUUCUGAUUUGGAGUAAAAGCAAAAGGAGAAUUGUAUUAGUUCAAAUUCUCUCAUUUUCCAAGUAGCAAAAAAGCAAUUUAUAGACUUAUAUCUAGAAGUCAGGGAAGAAGAUCAGGUAUGGCUGGAUCCAGAGGUUCAAUCUCUUCCGCUCUUGUUCUUGCUCUGCCUUUCAUCAUGUUGGUUUCUUCCUCGGGUACACCACUUCACACACUGGCAAAGUGGCCCCAGGCAGGAUCAGGCUUACUUGGUCCUUAGAGCCCACAGUCCCUCUUUUCUGAUUGUUAAAAUGGUAAAAACCUGGCAAGAUUUGGUGAUUCAAGCUGGCUUUGUGACUUUUCUUGAACCAGUCAUGUGCCCAGUCUUGGAGGGGAGGAUUGGGUCAGCCCUGUGUGAGCCAUACAGAGAAUUUGGGUGGGAAUGGUGGUGGUGGUGGGGUGAUUGUCAAAAAUCUGAAAACUACAAGGAUAAGAAGGUGGAUACCUACUGUCUUCUCUAUUUUCAACGUUGAUGUAUUUAUUCAUUCAUUCUACGAAUAUAUAUUCAAGGGGCCUGGGUGGCUGCUGAGGGCCCUCAGGUAAGUAAGAUGGGUUCUUGCUUUUGAGGAGCUUGGUGUCUCAAGCAGCCUGAGUUCUCAGGGAAGGUCUCUUUGGAUACUUGCAAAGCAUCCUCCUGACUAGGAAGGGGAAUUGCAGCUCCUCUAGGAUGUCUGUUGAUACGAGGGAUUCCUGCCAGUACCUGCCAACAAGGGUCCUUUCAGCUUUAUAGGGCCACUCAGUCGUACCUCGACAGAACCAGUGAUGCAUUGGCUGGAGAGAGCGCACGGGAAAGAAGAGAGCGCGCCAGGCUGGGUCCUGGAGGCCGGGCUGUGAGCGCCCCCUGCGGGAGAGCUGGAGCGGCUGCGUGCAGCGGAAACCGGCCGAGUCUCGCUGAGUUCCUCUCCUUCCUCAUCGUUUACAAAUCCGGCCUAGAAGGGCUUGGUUUGAAGUGACGCCAAGCUGUGUGUUACCACCUGUGCCUUAUUAACCAACAGCACGGUAAGCGUGGAGUAAAGUUGCUCAAACUCCGCGUGGCAGGGAGACUGGCCACCCCCAGCCGCUUUCCCCUCCAGCCCACAUCGCCCAGGGACGGCUCUGCGCUCUUUUGCCUUACCAGUUUCUGCGCAGUACAGCUAAACACCCUGGACUCUGAAGUAUGGAAAAAAGCAGGCAGACUGGCUGGGGAUCUCAGGACCCAAGGAAUGGCACAUUUUAGAGAGGAUGCUGAAAGAAAAGGAAUCUGUUGGAAAACCUCAAACUGGCAUCUGCAAAAGCAUCUACAACCUCUGUCAAAUCUGCUCCUGUGCAGGUUUACUGAUCUUUGACAUGGACCUACUUCUUUGCAACCUACAAAUGAAGUCCUGCACCCAGAACAGUUGAUGGCAUUGUUGGUGAUGGACCAGAAGUUUUUCAUCUUUCCAACAAAUAACUGAGUCGAACAGAAUUCUCUUAGGAAAUGACAUCUUCAUGCUUUCAUGACAUUAGAGAGGAGGAAGUUGGAUGUACGCUGUGUCCCAGGCACCUGGGGGACUUUCUCUAAGGCCAUGUAACACUGCUGGCAUGGAUCCCUGAAGAAGGCAGCUUCAUUGAGUUGGAAGGAACAUUCCUCUGCCCAACCUGCAUCUCCAUCAAAGACUGAAGUUUUAUCCUAGACUCUCAGAAUUGUAAGAUUUCUGGUCAGUUAGAAUGACUCCUUGCCCUGAUACACAAUAAGAUACUUGGAACCUGGGUACUUGUUAUUAAAAAAUGUCAUAGGCUGUUGGGGAACUCAACAUCUAUGCAGCAAUGAGAAGAAAACAGACCUCAGCCAGAACCAGGAUGUUUACUUCUGAGUUAUAUCUUCUACCUGUCCCGCUUUGGUGUGAGCUGGAACGAACAAGAACUGGGAAGGAAGCUCAUAUUGCUAAUGUGGCUGAUUCAGCUAUUGUUCAGUCUAUCAUUCCCAGCCUUAUGGAGUUGAGGAAAACGCCCUUGCCUUUGCCAUUACUACUUGAUAUUUUGUCUGUUUGACUCUGGUGUCUUGGGAGACAAAGACUAAGUUUUCCUCCCACUCUGACAUUCAAAGUCCUAUGAGGUCACCUGUACCAAUGAGUGGUCUCAUGCAUGGUUGCAUCAGAAUCUGAGUUAGGUGUAAUAUGUUAUCUACGGAAAAUUCUCCAAGCAAGUGGCCGAGCAGAGGAAAGCUUGUUCUCUUCCCCCACACAAUCCUCUUUCUGCCCACUGAAGACGGGGUCUAUGACAUUUCACAAAUCCUGGGACACCAGAGAUAGACCAAGGAGUCGUCAGAGCAGAGGAUGCAAUCCUUGCUGUGCUUUGAAGGCAUUCAUUGGCCACUAGACUGCCUCCACUUUCACCAAGUCUCUGGAGAAGAUCUAUCCAGAAAAAGGAGCUUUAAGGCACUGAUGCCUGGGAUAAGCUUCAUUCUUUCCCCACUUGUCUGUUAAGGCUAUUUUCAGGAACCCCAGAUAUUUAUUGUACCAUAUUCAGGAAACAGGUACCUGAUGUGUUCUCUUGAUGGUGGGAAAGGAUAGUAAAAUUGGAGGUCAGAGGGUUUUGUCUAGUAUUCAUAUACUGAGAAAUCCCUAUUUAGAAUGUAUUUGUCAUCUCCUUUCCCUCAUAUCCAGACUAUUAGAUAUUAGUAUGAGUUUAUAUACUUGCACAGAAUGUGUUAUAAUUGCCAAGGUUCCCAAAGCAAGACAAACCAACUACUUGUCAGAUGAAUUACCUGGUAAUUACAGCAAUUCAAGCAUUUACUUUAAACAUGAUGUCUAAGUCUAUAAUAAGACCCCAAUUGUCUUUCUAUUAGCCAGUGUAUAUCUGUGGCUGAAAAGAUAACCUCUUUGGCAAAGUAUGAGUCUAUCCUUGGGCACCUCAUAAAUGUGAGCUGAAAGGAUAAACCACAACCUUCAGGGUGUCAAGGGCUCUCCAGAUCAUGAUUAAACUUGGGACUCUGAUGUCAAAUAACAGCAAAACUGAUACUGGCAUACAUUCUGGACUUACAAACCUUCCCGAUUUUCCCAGAGGCCUAGAUCAUACCAGCUAAUAGAAAAGCAUCAGCUUAAGUCAUCAUAGCCUGCUUAGCAUAUUAUCUUUUUAGAGUUUAAUUCAACACACUACAUUACUGAGCAAAUGUCAUACACCAAGUUCUGUGCUAGGCUUUAGAGUAAUUUCCUUCCCAUAAUGUAGCAGAUAUCUAAUUCUCUAGUUAUUUAUUUCAGAAAAAUUUUAAGGCUCUAUCAUACUGAUACAAAAACACAAUCACUGCAGGCAUCUGAGCUGAGAUGACUGGAUAGCAAAAUCCUGUUCUCGGGGGAUAAGAGAGGAUGUAGGAGCCACUACAUCCAUAGUCCAUUUGUAGUAGACAUGAAAUGUGCCACCCAUAUCCCUUUUCAAAGGACUUUCUGAAGCUACAGAGAGAGUGGUUCCAGCCAGCCUCCAUCAGUCAGCUUCUUCAGGAUCUUCCCCAGCUGCCUAGAGUCACCUCAUCCAAGCUCAUGCCCUUCCUGGGGAAACCCAUAGCUGGUGACUGAAUGGGGCAUGGCCAAUUUGGCCCAAUGUGGAACAUAUCUGAUAGGCAAUAUUUGCUUGAAAGCUUUAUCACCAGGUAGGCUAAGGCUUUGUUGCACCUGUAUUGCAACAAUCAUUCUCUCUCUGCCAUAUCCUGCUUCCAGUCCUUUCUUUCACAGAUGUCAUUCCCUGAUAAACAUCACAUACUCUAAACUCCAUCUUCACAUCUACUUCAGAGACUCUAACUUGUGAGCCCAUUUAUUCUAGAUUCUUCUACCUGACCUCAGAGCCAAUGCUAGGGUAAAUAAAAAAGCAGUGUCUUUAUAGCCCCACCUUUUCAAUUCCAUUUUUUACUUUUCAUACUGUUCCCUAUCUGCAUAACCCUAAUCUAGAAUUUACCAAUUAUCAAAGCUAACAAAAAUGUCUUGAUGAUAAAACUUUAGCUUCUUCCUUAAUGAAAUAGAGGUGCCAUCUUCUAAUGGGUUGUUGAAAUGACUGAAAGGAGACAAUUAAAAAAAUAUGUAGUGUGGUAUGUGGCAAACAGAUGUCUUUGGUCACUAUUAAGUUUAAUCUUGUAAAACCAAUAGUCUGAGGUGUCUUAGGCACAUCCACAUUGGGGCUGGCAAAUGAGAGUUACUUCAUGUUAAAACUGAACCCCAGAAAUGAUUUCAACCACAAUAUUAUCAGAGAAAAGAAUAAGAUAUUGUUAGAGUUAGGGGGAGAGGGGAAUCUACAUAUGUUGAUUUGUAUGGGUCCUAAUUCAUCUGUUAGUCUAUACAGAUGGCAUGGACAUUGGCUCAAAUGCUGAUCCAGCAUUCAAGUUUCUUAUACCUAAUUUGAAUGAGUUUGUUGAGUUGUAAACUUCUCUAAACCCUAGAGAUCUAGGUAAUCUAAAAUAUGGUGUCAUGUAACAUUAAAAAGUCAUUUUAAAAUAA